rnacentral:rRNA from 1 species
UUAGUGGCGGACGGGUGAGUAACGCGUGGGUAACCUGCCUUACACAGGGGGAUAACACUUAGAAAUAGGUGCUAAAACCGCAUAAGCGCACAGCUUCGCAUGAAGCGGUGUGAAAAACUCCGGUGGUGUAAGAUGGACCCGCGUCUGAUUAGCUUGUUGGCGGGGUAACGGCCCACCAAGGCGACGAUGGGUAGCCGGCCUGAGAGGGUGGCCGGCCACACUGGGACUGAGACACGGCCCAGACUCCUACGGAAGGCAGCAG